rnacentral:rRNA from 1 species
UGGGGAAUAUUCGCNCAAUGGGGGGAACCCUGACGCAGCCAUGCCGCGUGAAUGAAGAAGGCCUUAGGGUUGUAAAGUUCUUUCGGUAUUGAGGAAGGUUGAUGUGUUAAUAGCACAUCAAAUUGACGUUAAAUACAGAAGAAGCACCGGCUAACUCCGUGCCAGCAGCCGCGGUAAUACGGAGGGUGCGAGCGUUAAUCGGAAUAACUGGGCGUAAAGGGCACGCAGGCGGUUAUUUAAGUGAGGUGUGAAAGCCCCGGGCUUAACCUGGGAAUUGCAUUUCAGACUGGGUAACUAGAGUACUUUAGGGAGGGGUAGAAUUCCACGUGUAGCGGUGAAAUGCGUAGAGAUGUGGAGGAAUACCGAAGGCGAAGGCAGCCCCUUGGGAAUGUACUGACGCUCAUGUGCGAAAGCGUGGGGAGCAAACAGGAUUAGAUACCCUGGUAGUCCACGCUGUAAACGCUGUCGAUUUGGGGGUUGGGGUUUAACUCUGGCGCCCGUAGCUAACGUGAUAAAUCGACCGCCUGGGGAGUACGGCCGCAAGGUUA